CGCUUCUAGUAGGCCAAACUCCCAGGUGACCCCCGCAAGAAACGCGGUCCGGAGAGGGUCUGGCCCCACUGCUGGGGCAAGGGCUCUAGGCGCCCGGACCCCACGCCCGCAGCCUGCGGAGAACGUGCCGACAAGGACCUGUAGGGCCCCACUCCCCCUCCUCCCUCCCUCGGCGCAGCCCGGCCCAGGGGUCUGUCCUCCCAGGCCCAGGAAAGGAGGAAACCCACUUCCGCCGCGUCCAUGAUCUCCCGCGGCUUCUCCUGACUCUUGCGGCUGGCGCUGGCGCUGGGCAUCGGGACACGGAACUGGGCAGUGGACACCACCCUCCCUCGCAGGCUUCCAAAGUAAUUUGAAGGCCUUCCCUGACUUAAAGUGGAUGCUGCUUUGGAAAGCACUGGAAAAAUGGAUCCUGUCUUUCUUAGCCAAGGACUGGUCUCUUUUCUCCAAUGUGUCCCUAACAGAGUGGUGAGGCUGGCUCUUCCCACCAGUACAGACAGAAUUUUCAAUUCACAAAUCAUCUGAAAAACAGGAAAUUUUGGAGAAACAUGCUUAUGAUAACAAACAAGGGAUCUAUCGUGUGGUAUAGAAGUUUACACAAAGAGGCAUCUGAUUUUAAGUUUUUGUUUUUUUUUUUUUUUUUUUUUUUACCGUUCUGGGCUUCUGGCUGCAUUCUAGGAAGAUCAUUCCUUAAAAGAAAUAGCCAUAUGGCUUAUAAGACAUGGAAUAAACUUGACAAGUGCUAAAGAUGCUCUUUGAUUUUUGUGUGGCAUGAGACCUCAGGCUGAAACUUCUCAUCUGAGCCAUUGAAGGGAGCCUCUCAUCUCUCCACCGAGAGGGGAGACCAGAAUGGCUCCUUCAGGCACAUUCUGUUGGGCUUCCCUCUACCUCCCCACUCUGCUGCUUCCCCGCUCUUUUUGAAUUUCUCCCUGUUGAGGAGAGGGAAGACCAGCUAGGAGAGGAUCUGGAUUGAGAAACUUGCCAUGCUUUUCUCUCAGAUGUUCUCUUUUCUCUGAAGACAGCAGGACCUCAUCCAAAGCUCUGUUUCUGGCAGGAAUCUGACACCACUUACUCCUUGGGUAGAAACUCCCCCAAGUCUGAACUAUGUGAUUGCCUGAGCCCUGCUUCUUGUUCAUUAAGACUGCUCCUCUGAAACGGAAUUGAUGAAUUUUUAGUGGCUAUUAGAAGCAUUUGGGAUCCAUAGGCAUCAGGGUUUGAUGCAUGGCCCUCAUCUCUGUGGGCUCCUGUGCAAUGAUUCUCAUCUGUCUUAGUUAGAAAGUGAAUUAAUCUUGACCUUGGCCUCAGGGGUGUGGUUCUCUGCCCUCUUACACAUCUUCAAUUCGCUUCUUUAUCAGAAGCACUUGUUUUAGGCCCAGGCUCCCCCAAUUUUAAUGACAUUUAGACAUUUGUCUUUAAGUUACAUUGCUUUGAUUUUAAUCAAAAUCUAUAUUUCUAGUAUUAUAUGUUUCCAGAAAGUUCUCAUUCUGGAUUGUAAUUUAAUUACAUGGAUCAUUAAAGCUUUGAAGGAUGCUAAUGGGCAGAAAAAAGAGACUUAACAAAACGAAAGUUAUUAUUAGGAAUUACAAAUCACUUAACAUUUCAACAUCACUCGUCGGAUGUGGGCAUUUUGUUGAAAGAGACCUUGUUUUGAACAGUGACAGUGCAGAAGACCUAUGGAAGAAACAAGCUUCCAACUUGAUUUCUAUUGUUAUGCAUGCAUAGCAAAUUAUUAAUUCUAUUCUAAUAGGGUAAUAGAUUUAGAAAUACUAUUAGCAGAAAACUUGAUGUAUUAGGCAAUACUACAUACCACAUUAGUCUAACCGCUCAACUGUAAUUUUUCAUCCAUACUUUCUUGGGAUGUAAAUAAAAUUGAUAUUAUACAAUGAAAAUAAAA
rnacentral:lncRNA from 1 species